rnacentral:misc_RNA from 1 species
GCCCUCAUUACUACUUCUAAAUCACAUAUUAACACCUGUAGUUUUGGAUCCCUGGAUAUGAAACCAACCCCAAGCUUGACCAAGGAUUGUCGUAUACUGAGUCUAAUUUCGCCAAUGGAUACACUUUCAACUGCACCCUUAUUGAACUUCACCCCGAUAUCUCUCAAGCAUUUCCAUCCUCCAACACGGAAUGAAACAGAUGCUCCCAUGGCUCGGCUUAGAAUCCACGCCAACAUGCGGGAAGCAAACACGAAAAUACUCCAUAGUAUUAUAGAAGCAAAUAGGAAUCCAAACAGAAACUUCGCCGGUGAAACAUCCAUGGCCG